AAGAGUAUGAUUUCAGGGCUCAUUUCUAUAGUUUGUUACUAGACAAGUUUUAUCUGAUUGUGCAGUAGUAUCCAAAACCAAGAGGAAGAGGCGGCACAGUGUCCUUUCCUGAGCGUGAGGUUGACUGUGGGUGAGGUUGACUGUGGGUGUUGUUCUUACAGCUGCGCUUCGGGAGCAGUUAGAGGAAAGGGACGUCCUGUGUGUGGU
rfam:Ailuropoda melanoleuca scaffold4062_1, whole genome shotgun sequence.